GACGAACGCUGGCGGCGUGCUUAACACAUGCAAGUCGAACGAAGUGGCGAACGGGUGAGUAACGCGUAAUCAACCUGCCCUUCAGAGGGGGACACCAGUUGGAAACGACUGCUAAUACCGCAUACUGAAGGAGGGGAUUGCGUCUGAUUAGCUAGUUGGAGGGGGAACGGCCCACCAAGGCGAUGAUCAGUAGCCGGGCUGGGGGGGUGGACGGCCACAUUGGGACUGAGGCACGGCCCAAGCGCCUACGGGAGGGAGCAGUGGGGAAUCUUCCGCAAUGGACGAAAGUCUGACGGAGCAACGCCGCGUGAGUGAUGACGGCCUUCGGGUUGUAAAGCUCUGUUAAUCGGGACGCGGUACCGGAAGAGAAAGCCACGGCUAACUACGUGCCAGCAGCCGCGGUAAUAC
rnacentral:rRNA from 1 species